ACAUUUUUUUGGUAUGCUGUUAGUUGAAGAUGGGCCAGCACUGUCUUGCUGUCUUUUGUAUUUAUUUUUGGUUACCUAUUUUGUUUGAUGCAAUCGGCACUAGCGAACAAGUUUAUCUUAUGCUAGUGUCUGCCAAAUUGAUGAGAUUGCGUUGUUGAAGAAAGGGAGGACGAGGGCGAGGAGAAGAAGGAGGGGAAGCAAGAACAGAAUGAAAAGCGAAUGACGAGAUGCAGCAAAGUGAAAAGUGGAGGGAAAAGUUUUAUUCUAUAAGAUGCUCUUUUCUGGAAUAGAAUGUCGAACAAAGACCAAGUCUGAUGGAUAUUGAACAAGUUUGAUGAGAGAGAGACUAAGUUUUGAAUUUAUUCAUCACUUUUCUUCACGUUCAAGGCUACAGUUAUUAAUGUGUGCUUUGAAUGGAAAUUCGAGCUUUGGCUGAGCACUCGCUCACUUCAUAACAUAAAGAAAAUUCACAUAUCAGGAAAAUUGAAAAUUGGAGCGGAGUCGGCUAAAUUGAUGUAGGCAUUCGUUUUUAUAAGAGCAUGCGAAGAUUUUUAUUCGUUCAAAGAAAGAGCUUUGAAGCGCUCAACGAUAUUACGUAUUCUAAUUCCGUACAGUAUUCAAAUAUAUUUCCAAUCAAUGCAAAUCAUUUUUCAGCCGUAUAACAGAUGUUUUACAAUGUGUACCACUACCUACAAAGCAUGAACAAUAUAAUUCACCCUGAUGCCGAUAAUUUCAGUCGUUAAGAGUAUUCUGGACUGGUCAUUGAACUAAUAGGAAUUUAGUGAACAUCACUUAGUGAUGGAAAUUAUUAAAUUACUUCAGUAUUGAAAAUUGAGUUAAAUGGCAGAGUGAACAUUAUUGUCUAAACUUCAACACGUCAUAAAAUAAGAAGGAAUUCUCUCUCAUUCCAACUCAAAUAAAGGAAUAAAAAAUGUA